rnacentral:rRNA from 1 species
UACGAAGGGGGCUAGCGUUGCUCGGAAUCACUGGGCGUAAAGCGCACGUAGGCGGCUUUUUAAGUCAGGGGUGAAAUCCUGGAGCUCAACUCCAGAACUGCCUUUGAUACUGAGAAGCUUGAGUCCGGGAGAGGUGAGUGGAACUGCGAGUGUAGAGGUGAAAUUCGUAGAUAUUCGCAAGAACACCAGUGGCGAAGGCGGAUCACUGGCCCGGUACUGACGCUGAGGUGCGAAAGCGUGGGGAGCAAACAGG